AGAGUUUGAUCAUGGCUCAGGAUGAACGCUGGCGGCGUGCCUAAUACAUGCAAGUCGAACGAGAUGCUUUUGUAGCAAUACGAGAGUAUUCUAGUGGCGAACGGGUGAGUAACGCGUUGGUGACCUACCCCAAAGUGUGGGAUAACAGUCCGAAAGGAUUGCUAAUACCGCAUGUGGUCUUCGGAUUUAGAAACUGAUGACUAAAGGAGCAAUUCGCUUUGGGAGGGACCUGCGUCCCAUCAGCUAGUUGGUGAGGUAAUGGCUCACCAAGGCGACGACGGGUAGGGGACCUGAGAGGGUGGCCCCCCACAAUGGAACUGAAACACGGUCCAUACACCUACGGGUGGCAGCAGUAGGGAAUAUUGCAUAAUGGGCGCAAGCCUGAUGCAGCAACGCCGCGUGUGCGAUGAAGGCCUUCGGGUUGUAAAGCACUUUUAGCAGGGAAGAGGAAGGACGGUACCUGCUGAAGAAGCCUCGGCUAACUACGUGCCAGCCGCCGCGGUAAUUC
rnacentral:rRNA from 1 species